GAUGAACGCUGGCGGCGUGCCUAAUACAUGCAAGUCGAGCGAACAGACGAGGAGCUCGCUCCUCUGACGUUAGCGGCGGACGGGUGAGUAACACGUGGAUAACCUACCUAUAAGACUGGGAUAACUUCGGGAAACCGGAGCUAAUACCGGAUAACAUGUUGAACCGCAUGGUUCAACAGUGAAAGACGGUCUUGCUGUCACUUAUAGAUGGAUCCGCGCCGCAUUAGCUAGUUGGUAAGGUAACGGCUUACCAAGGCAACGAUGCGUAGCCGACCUAAGAGGGUGAUCGGCCACACUGGAACUGAGCCACGGUCCAGACUCCUACGGGAGGCAGCAGUAGGGAAUCUUCCGCAAUGGGCGAAAGCCUGACGGAGCAACGCCGCGUGAGUGAAGAAGGUCUUCGGAUCGUAAAACUCUGUUAUUAGGGAAGAACAAAUGUGUAAGUAACUAUGCACGUCUUGACGGUACCUAAUCAGAAAGCCACGGCUAACUACGUGCCAGCAGCCGCCGCCG
rnacentral:rRNA from 1 species